AUUGAACGCUGGCGGCAGGCCUAACACAUGCAAGUCGAGCGGAGCGGCGGACGGGUGAGUAAUGCCUAGGAAUCUGCAUGGGAGUGGGGGAUAACGUCCGGAAACGGGCGCUAAUACCGCAUACUAUCAGAUGAGCCUAGGUCGGAUUAGCUAGUUGGUGGGGGAAAGGCCUACCAAGGCGACGAGCCGUAACUGGUCUGAGAGGAUGAUCAGUCACACUGGGACUGAGACACGGUCCAGACUCCUACGGGAGGCAGCAGUGGGGAAGAGUGGGCAAUGGGCGAAAGCCUGAUCCAGCAAUGCCGCGUGAGUGAAGAAGGUCUUCGGAUUGUAAAGCACUUUAAUUAGGGAAGCGGUACCGAAAGAAAAAGCAACGGCUAACUACGUGCCAGCAGCGGCGGUAAUAC
rnacentral:rRNA from 1 species